rnacentral:lncRNA from 1 species
GGUAGCUGAAAGAUUUUACCUGGAGCAGCUCAAACUGAUAGAAAUUCGAUAGAAUAUCAACAUAUUAUGGAUAUAUUAGAAGCUUCUAAUAUAUUUCCUCAUCACUUGACAAAUAAAAUAGAAAAUAUGUUAUUGAUUCAUUAGCCUUUUGAAAGAAAGCGGAAUUGAUGUUGAGGAAACCUAAUCUAUUGUCUGCACAUUUUGUAUUACAAACCUAGAAAGAAAGAAAAUAAUAUUCAAUACUACGAAGAAAACUAAAAAUUUGUUUGUACCUUGAGAUUGAUUCCUGUUUUAGAACAUUAUGCAGAGCAGAAAGAGGAAUAGCAGCUAGUGACAAUUGCGUCUUCUCUGAAGGUCCUCAGGAGUUCUAAAAUACACAUGCAAGAUGAAAUAUUUCAAUUAAGUAGAUCCAAAAUCGCAUAAAUUAACCUACAAAAAUACUGAAAAAGCUAAAUUUUACAACCUAAAAUACCUAAUGUAGAAGGAGAAAGAGGACUUACAUCUCGAAUUCAAUAGAGUGUUAUAUCCUUCUUUAAAAUACACCGAUUCAACCAAAAUUUCUGUUACUUUCAGUAGAGAAUCAAAAAACAGAAAAGCCACAAAAUAGAGGAAAAAUCAGUAAAGGAAAAACACAAAUUAACAGAGGAAAUAAACCUAAAACCCACAUGCAAGAAGAAAGAAACACAGAAAAGGAAAGUCAAAUAAUGGGGAAGAGAAAUUACCAUAGACAUGAACCCACAAUCCACAUCGCUCAAAAUCAAAGAAUGGGGAAGAAAGCAAAAAAAUUGCAUCUCUUUCAUCACGAAGAAAGGAAUUACCAUACAAAAAAUAUUUUGUGAAUCUCUUUCAGUUUUUUUAUUCUUCAAGUGAGGGUUUUUAAUUUUUCAAGUGGAAGAAAAUGGAAGCUGAAAAGCUUCUCUUUCGUGAAAGUGAGGGAGGGGUUUGGGAAAAAGAAAUAGGGAAAUGAUCAAGAAAGAGGAAACUAUUGACCGCCGCAAAUAUAAUAUUUUUAUGGGGUUGUAUAAAACCCCCAAUUUGAUAUAAAUUGCAGAGGUUACAAUAACCGCCACAAUUAAACCUCCGCAAACUCACCAUUUUUUUGUAGUGAGUAGUGACGAGGUUCAAGUCAAGACACUCACUAGACCAAUAACUUAUGCAUAAUAUCAAUAUAAACAAUCAACGGAAAGCAUAACCAGAUAGAUAGCAAAAAGGAAUAGGCAUGUGAUAACAUAGCAAAUUAACCAAAACUCCUAAAACGCAAGGUGAAAUCAUUUCAAGAAAUCAAUGACACGUUCAAAUCAUCAACCCCUUAUGAUACCAUCGUCCACCAUAUUGGCCUUCUCCGGAUGGUAUAGAAUAGUGAUAUCAUAGUCCUUAAGAAGCUCCAACCAUCUCCUCUGGCGCAAAUUACGAUCCUUUUGUUUAAAUAGAUGUUGCAGACUUCGGUGAUCAGUAUAGAACUCACAAUGAACCCCAUACAAAUAACUAUGCCAAAUCUUCAAGGCGUGAACAAUAGCUGCUAACUCAAGAUCAUGGACAUGAUAGUUCUUCUCAUGGGUCUUCAACUGGCAAAAGGCAUAGGCAAUCACCCUACCCUCCUGCAUCAAAACACACCCAAUGCCUAUCCUCGAAGCAUCAUAAUACACUGUAUAAGAACCUGAAUCUGAUGGCAGAACUAACACUGGAGUUGUGGUCAAGGCAGUCUUGAGCUUCUGAAAGCUCUCCUCACACUCAUCCGACCACCUGAAUGGAGCACCCUUUUUGGGUCAAUUUGGUCAAGAGCGAUGCAAUAGUUGAAAAUCCCUCCACAAAGCGACGGUAAUAACCCGCCAAACCAAGGAAGCUCCUAAUCUUCGUGGACGAGGACGGUCUAGGCCAAAUCUGCACCGCCUCUAUCUUCUUCAGAUCCACCUGAAUACCUUCACUGGACACCACGUGCCCGAAGAAUGCUACUGAACCGAGCCAAAACUCACACUUGGAGAACUUUGCAUAAAGCUUCUCCUCCCUCAAUCUCUGUAGUACAAUCCUAUGAUGCUGGGAGUGCUCCUCCUGGCUACGAGAGUACACUAGGAUGUCAUCAAUGAAAACAAUAAUGAAGGAGUCCAAAUAGGGCUGGAAUACACUGUUCAUCAAAUGCAUCAACGUUGAUAGGGCAUUGGUCAGCCCAAAAGAUAUCACCAAGAACUCAUAAUGGCCAUAACGUGUCCUGAAAGUUGUCUUAAGAAUAUCUGAAUCCCGAAUUUUCAGUUGAUGAUACCCGGACCUCAAAUCAAUCUUGAAGAACACCUUCCCUCCCUGAAGCUGGUCAAAUAAAUCAUCAAUACGAGGCAAGAGAUACUUAUUCUUGACGGUGACCUUAUUCAACUGCCUGUAAUCAAAGCACAUCCUCAUGGAACCAUCCUUCUUCUUCACAAAUUGAACCGGUACACCCCAAUGUGACACACUAGGCCUAAUAAACCCCUUAUCAAGGAGUUCCUGAAGUUGCUCUUUCAAUUCCUUCAACUCCGCCGGUGCCAUACGAUAUGGUGGAAUAGAAAUGGACUGUGUGUCUGGCACCAAAUCAAUGCCAAAGUCAAUAUCCCUGUCAUGCGCCAUGCCCGGCAGGUCUUCAGGAAACACAUCCGAAAAAUCUCGUACUAACGGAACAAAAUCAAUGGUAGGAGUCUCUACACUAACAUCUCUCACAAAAUCCAAAUAAGAUAGGUAACCCUUCUCAACCAUACGCUGAGCCUUUAAGUAUGAAAUCACCCUACUUGGUACAUAAUCUAUAGAACCGUUCCACACAACCCUCGGUAAUCCUAGCAUCGCCAAUGUCACGGUCUUAGUGUGACAAUGUAGAAAAUCAUGGCAUGGAGAUAACCAAUCCAUACCCAAUAUCACAUCAACGUCAACCAUAAUGAGCAACAAAAGGUCCACUCGGGUCGCCAGACCCCCAAUAGUCACCAUAUAUGACCUAUAUAUACGGUCAACAACAAUAGUAUCGCCCACAGGAGUAGAUACAUGAACAGAUAAAACUAAAGACUCAUGGGGCAUAUCCAGAAAAUGAGCAAAAUAUGAGGAAACAUAUGAAUAUGUGGAACCAGGGUCAAAUAAUACAAAGGUAUCUCUGUGAUAAAUUGAGACGAUACCUGUAAUCACGGCAUCUGAAGCAAUAGCAUCUGGUCUGGCCGGGAGUGCAUAGAAACAGACCUGACC